rnacentral:rRNA from 1 species
UACGUAGGGUGCGAGCGUUUGUCCGGAAUUAUUGGGCGUAAAGAGCGCGCAGGCGGUCUGCCAAGUCAGAUGUGAAAGAGGCCGGCUUAACCGGCAAGGGUCAUUUGAAACUGACAGACUAGAGUGCAGCAGAGGAUAGCGGAAUUCCCGGAUGUAGUGGUGAAAUGCGUAGAUAUCGGGGAGGAACACCAGUGGCGAAGGCGGCUAUCUGGGCUGCAACUGACGCUGAGGCGCGAAGGCCUAGGGUAGCAAACAGG